CCGAGUUCUACAAGGAGCAGAAGCGCCAGGAGAAAGCCAUCAAGCGGAGGGAGGCUCUGGAGAGAGCCAAGAGGAAUGGCAGCAUCGUGUCCAUGAACAUGAAGGACGCCUUCGCCCGGAGCAUCGAGAUGAUGGACAUCGUGGUGGAGAAAAAUGGCGAGAGCAUAGCUAAGAAGGAUAAAGUGCAAGAUAAUCACCCCAACAAGUGGAAAUGGACCAAGAGGGCACUCUCCGAGACCAGCUCCAGUAAGUCCUUUGAAACCAAGGAGCAGGGAUCCCCCGAAAAGGCCAGGUCCUCGUCUAGUCCACAGCACUUGAACGUCCAGCAGCUGGAAGACAUGUACAGUAAGAUGGCCAAGACACAGUCCCAGCCCAUCCUCAACACCAAGGAGAUGGCCCCGCAGAGCAAGCCUCCAGAGGAGCUGGAGAUGAGCAGCAUGCCCAGCCCCGUGGCCCCUCUGCCCGCACGCACGGAGGGUGUCAUCGACAUGCGGAGCAUGUCCAGCAU
rnacentral:lncRNA from 1 species